ensembl:lncRNA
GUCCUGUGGCACAGGACUGGCAUGCCACGGGGUCGGCAUGGCACAGAACAGACUGGGACUGGCAUAGUCUGUCUGGCUCGGUACAGCUCAGUGCAGCCCAGCAUGGCACAGUCUGGCAUGACAUGGCACAGUAUAGCACAUCAUGGGGUUGGCAUGGCAUGGGGCUGGCACGGCACAAUAUGAGGCUGGCACAGCACAGAACUGGCAUGGCAUAGCAUGACACAGGGCUGGCACAGCGUGGGGCUGGCAUGACAUAGCAUGACAUGGGGCUGGCACAUGGGGCGUGACACGACAUGCAGCUGUCAUGGCACAGGACUCUCAUGGCACGGGGCUGGCCUGGGGCCGGCAUGAUACAGUGUGGCACAGGGCUGUCACAGCAUGGCAUGCAGCUGGCAUGGCACAGGACUGGCCCAGUCUCCCUGCCUUGGUACAGCUCAGUACGGCCCAGCAAGGCACAGCCUGGCAUGGCAUGGCAUGGUAUGGUAUAGCACAUUAUGGGGCUGGCACAGGGCUGGCACAAUCUACCUGGUUCAGCACAUCUCAGCAUGGCAGACUCUGCCAUGGCAUGGCACAACAGAGCAUGGGACAGCCCAGGACUGUCACAGUCUUCCUGGCUUGGUACAGCUCAGCAUGACACCGCCUGGGGCUGGCACAGCAGGGCAUUGGUGGGAGCUCAGUGUGGUCCAGCCCAGGUCUGUCCUGGUUGGCACAGCACAGCACAGUGUUUAUGACCUGAGGCAGCACUGCCCAGUACAGUCCAGCAUGGCAUGGCACAGCCCAGUGUGGCAUGGCAUGGUAAAGCAUGGCCCAGCCUGGCCAGCAUGGCACAGCACAGUCCAGUCAGGCACGGCGUGGUCCAACAUGGCACAGCUUAGUGUGGCAUGGUACAACAUGACCUGGCCUGGUUCAGCAUGGUACGGCAGAGCCCAGUCCAGCCUAGUACAGCCCAGUCCUGCUGUCUGUUGUGGCCCAGCAAAGCCCAGCAUGGCUCAGUUCAGCACAGCACGGCUUGGUGUGUACCCACACCCCAGUGGGCAGGACAGGGAGGGCACACAGGGAGGCAGGAGGUGCCAGGGGCCCUCUGUGCACCCAUCCCAGCCGUGCCCACACUGUCCCAGCACAGAGACACUCCCACCACCAAUGCCCUCCGGCCCCGAGCGAGCACCACACAAGGAGCCACUUUCUGUGGAAACAAGGGGACUCUGUGCAUGGCCCUCGGUGCCACCCGGCUCCACCGUCCCGAAGUCACCCGCCCGUCACACGGCUGCUGGUGCCCCGGUGCCACCGUGCUCUCCCACCUCACUGGGGCUUUGUUUGUGGCGCAGGGAAUGAGCUGUGCUGGGAACGAGCACAGCAGCCGGGUUUGGAAACACACCCCCCCCUCCCCCAAAAAAACCUGGACAACCCCAACCUUGGAGAUUCGCCCAGUUACAGGCAGAAGAUCAAAACCACGCUGUGAAGUUUGCAAAAAAACCAACCCAACCAAAAACCCCAAGACUCAUCUUUUGCUUACCUUGCGCUUCUGGCCGUGCCGGGGCACGUGGUGCAGCUGGGACACGAGGUGCAGCCCCGGGGCAGGGCCGGCCCCAUCCCGGCAGCCGUGCCGGCAAAAAAGCGGGAUAUUUUGCGUUGCUUUCUCUUUUGUUUCUGGUAAAAGUGAGGCAGGCUCUCACGUCUCACGCUCUGACCUGCCUGGGAACGGCCGCCCUCCAGCGCGGUCUGAGCAGAAGAGGAAAUACCAGGCAUGGGAAGCUGUGCUGAGCACCGGGGCUGCCACCACGCCUGAGAGGGGCACUCAUUGGGUGCUGGGGGAUUGGGCAGCCAGGAAGGGCAGGGAAGCUCUGAAUCCGGAGUGGGACACCCCGGGUGGGCGAUGCUGGGGUGGCUGCUGGCGGCACUGGUGGCGGGCGGUGGAAUGUAUGACCGUGAUGGUGAAAGAUGAAGAUGACUCAGUGAACUGUACCCUGAAGGGGAAUGGCACCUUUGUGGUCCAGCUACGGCAAAAGACCUGGAGCAGCUACUGGAGUGACUGGAGCAGUAACAUCUCUGUUCCUGAGGGUAAGGAAGAGGAGGGGAGGCUGGUGAGAUCCUACCAGCUCCCAAAAACAUUGAUCGCUCAGUCAGGCUUGUCCCUCCUGCAGAAAUCCUGGAGAGCCCAGUGCUGAGCCACCAACUGGAAAAACUAGGAAGACAUGGGCAGCGGGUGCUGAGGCUGAGCUGGCAGGUACAGCAGCAUCUCUGGGGACCCUCCUGAGUGUCUCCCCCACCAUUUCAUCCCCCACACUGUCCACUCUCCCUCCCCAGCCAGUCCUCAAGGGACAAAGGGAUGUCAACUACACACUGCACGCCCACAUGCCAGCGUGUGGCUGUGCUGAGCUGGACGAGGAGGACGUUGUGGUGCUGGGGUGGGAGGUGAGGGAG